CUCAGAAAGCUUGAGGUUGGUCGGUCCCGCAGAUGUCAUGGCGGAGAUGGUGAAGAGGUAGUCCCUCUGAGAGCUGUCCCGGACGAGAAACGUCCCCUCCGACGUGUCCUGCAGGAUCUCCUUGGCUUCAUUGGCUGUCAGGCUGCCCCAAUACCAGCCUGCUUCCAAGAAAAGAAGACACAGAGAUGGUCAUGCAUAUCCGCUUCCACUGUAUCUGUUUCAGUCGUUUGCUUGUGUAACAUGAGACACAUAACUCGUUCCUCUAAGGACACGCACACAAAAACCGACACAGCUACAUAGUCAUAAACUGGCUCUUCUGUGUUUUUUUUUGUCAGGCAUUUUCUGAAUAGAUGAAUAAGAAGUCUCAGCACGUCACGUUCAACCUCGCAGCUCUGUUUCCCCUGAUGCACAGGGCUAAAUCGCAUCUGAUAAUGCAGCAAAAAGCAAGCACUUCCGAAAUGAGCUGUUAAAUAAACGUUAAUUGAAAACAUUAUGGCAAAUGUGGCACAGCAAGACUAAACAACGCUGCGAAAAAUGUCAACAAAGAUGACGUAUCUUUCCUGAAAUACUGAACUAGACCAUCUGACUGUUUCGUCUUGGGAGUUUAUGAAAUUUUUUAAAGGCAGAUGUUUGGCAGAUGUUCCCAAAACGCCUCAGAAUGUUUUGCUCCACAAGAAAACAAACAUAAAGUGGACAUUUUGUAGAAUCAUUAUCACUGUAUGUUGUUUUUUUCUCUUAAUAUAAUGUGCAAUGGAAUAAAUUAAAAACAGAAAGGCAUGCGGUAGAGAUGUGAGGACAAAUGUUCCAGCCAGGACAGGAAACAUAACAAUGGCUUUAUAGACAUGAUAAUGUCACUCUUUUGUUGCAAAAUAGCAAAACAAUAAAUGUAAACAGUAAAAGCUUUGUCAGGAAAUUC
rnacentral:lncRNA from 1 species